rnacentral:piRNA from 1 species
UGUCAAAAGGAUUCACAAAACGAACAGAUC